rnacentral:miRNA from 1 species
UUGUGACCGUUACAAUGGGCAUG